AGAUCUCACUGUGUAGCCCAGGCUGGCCUUGAGAUUUUGAUCCUCUUGCUGGGGCCUUCUGAGUGCUAGAACUGCAGGUGCUGUGUGCUUGGUCUCUUACAUCUCUUGAUCACUUGCUAGACUGGAGUCUGUAAAACCCGAGCCUCAACCACUUCUCUCAGGUAUUGCCACAGUGCUGAAACCCUGAGAAACACAAGGUCUGUCAACCUACGGACAGUUUUUGAAGAAGUUGUCGGGGGAUCAUACUCAGAAAUGCCGUCCAUCUCCUUUGAGAUCUGGUCUCUGGAGUUCACCAGUAAUAUACAAACAGAAAAGAUCGCCAAGAAUCACUCUCCGAGGAGUCAGGCUAUAAAGACUCUGAGAUAAGCCUGGCUGCCUGGAAGAGGCAGAGACCAGCUGAGCUGCCUAGAAGAGGUUUAGACCAUUUGGAGCCACCUGGGAAGGACACUCGCCAAUCUGCUUGCAAGCUGUGCAGUGUGCUACGACUUCCUGCUUUUCUGGUGUUUUCCUGCAUGUAUGUCUGUGUACUGCCUGCGAGUCUGG